UCUAUUAGGCUCCAGCACUGGACAAAGAUUUAGUUCACUUUCUCACAAUCUCACCUCCUUUCUCUUCUGUCUUGGUUGGUGCUUUAUCCAUGCCAGGUUAUCCCCUCUCUUGAAUUUAGGAUCUGGUUCCUCGUUGGCCUUUGAGGGGCCAGAUGAUGCAACUCAGAAGGGCAGGAUGCUACCUACUGGUGGGAUGAAACUUGACCAGUGGGAAAUGAGAGAUGGGAAGGAGCCACACAGGAGCAAGAGCUGUUGAUUCUGUUUUAUAACAUGCACAAAAGUGAUGAAAAGAAGCACUCUAUCAAUAAUACAUGGAACGGGAAAUAGGAGCAAACAAGUCAAAUGAAGAUGAGGUGGACGGUGAAGACACACCGAGAAGCCGGCCAUCUAUGAACCAGGAAGCUGUCCUCAGACACUGGCUCUGGGGCCACUUUGAUCUUGGACUUCCAGCCUCCAUAACUGUGAGAAAUAAAUGUCUGUUGUUUACCAGUCA